rnacentral:misc_RNA from 1 species
UUAACUAUUAUAUAGUACUCAGACGACGUAAAAUUCAGAGUUUAGGUCCUCUGGCAGACACUUACCAGCCGGAGCCGGUAGCCAGGCGUGAACCCGACGGGCCUGCCAAAGCAACAAAAGUAUAGUACUCAAGGGUGGGAGGUCUACCCUAAAGGGCAUGAACUCUGUAAUGAUCCUUCCGCAGGUUCACCUACGGAAA